rnacentral:lncRNA from 1 species
GUCUUGGUGGUGCUUGCCUGUAAUUGCAGCUACUUAGAAGGCUGAGACAGGCGAAUCGCUUGAACCCAGGAGGCAGAAGUUGCAGUGAGCCGAGAUCGUACCACUGCACUCCAGCCUGUACAACAGAGCAAGACUCCAUCUCAAAAUAAAUACACACACACACACACACACACACACACAUAAAUCCUUGACCAAAAUAAAUACACACACACACACACACACACACACACACACACACACACAAAUCCUUGACAUAAUGUGAUGAGAAGGGUGCUUCACCUCUGGAGUCUUCUUCCAAUACACUAUAGCCCCAAUCUAAUCAUGAGUAAAGCAUCACAUGAAUCCCCAUUGAGGGGAUAUUCUUAAAAAGUACUUGACUAGUAAACCUCAAACAUUUCAGAGUUAUCAAAAGCAAGGAAAGUUUGAGAAGCUUUCACAGCCAAGAAGAGCCUGAAGAGACAUGAUAAACAAAUAAAAUGGUGAAUCCUGGAUGCAGCCCUGGAAAAACAACAAAGCGACCUCAGGUUAUGUCUUCUUUUAUAAGACUACCCACUGCCUCUUCUCAAGUAUAUCUGAAGUAUGGCUGGUUGGAGUAUAUCAGGACCCUCAGAGGAGAAAAGCAUAUAAAACCAGCACACCUGAACCCAGGCUUUCCAGCAAGUGCUCUUGGUAAAACGAUCUUGACAAAGUUUUGGAGAGAAGAGUGAUGCUCCAACAUAAAACAGUCUGGAAUUAAGCAGCCGAGCUGUAUUCACAGUUGCUCUUCACAUUUGUCAGAAACGUGGAGCUGAUUAAAUAGAGGGUGACCUGCUUUCAGUUGGGAAGUUAUAACCAGUGGCCGAAUGAGAACAAUAUUUUCCCUAUAAAAAGAACAGAAGAGCCAAGGAUUCUUCAAAGAUUCCUGGGCACUGAGAAAACAAGUAAAUACAAAAUUUAGCUAUGACAAUUACAGACAGACAUCAACAAAAAUCUUUUUAAAAAGAUAAACUUUCUUCAUUAAAAUAUAAUUUGUUUGAUCUGUAUUUAUAUAUCUGUGCCCUGCUACCGUAUCAUUAAAAAUAUUUGAAGUCGGAUAUACGAUGCAUUAAUUUGGCAGAUUAUCACAUUAUCUAGUUAACUUUAUCUUACAUGUUACCUUCUGGGCCAGUGGUGCUAGGACUCCGAUCAAACUCACUUCACAGUAAAUUAGUUCAUAUUAAGAAAUAUAUCUGCCGCAAAGUCUAUUUGGACCAAAAACAAAAUAGCAAUAAUACAUUGCAGCCGUAAAUAAACACAUAGCAGAUUAACAAGGGCUAAGUGUUGCUCUUGUCUGGCACUGGGAGUUAACAGUAUAUACUUCAUGAUAACUGAAAAAUUGGCAGGAAUUGAGUAUAUGAAAACUACGUAUGAAGACAAGCAAUACAGCUUUUAAUUCUAAUUGUUUACAAAAAUUAUAAAGCAUUGUUGGGAAAUUGUUAAAAUGAUUUGAAUACUAC